rnacentral:rRNA from 1 species
CACACCGUAAACGAUGAUUACUAGAUUUUGGUCGUAAGAUCAGAGUCCAAGCGAAAGUGUUUAGUAAUCCACCUGGGGAGUACGUCCGCAAGGAUGAAACUCAAAGGAAUUGACGGGGGCCCGCACAAGCGGUGGAGCAUGUGGUUUAAUUCGAUGAUACGCGAGGAACCUUACCUGGGCUUGAAAGUUAGUGACCGAUCCUGAAAGGGAUUCUCCCGCAAGGGCACGAAACUAGGUGC